rnacentral:rRNA from 1 species
AGUGACGGUAGCAGAGGAGGAAGCUCCGGCUAACUACGUGCCAGCAGCCGCGGUAAUACGUAGGUGGCAAGCGUUGUCCGGAAUUAUUGGGCGUAAAGCGCGCGCAGGCGGCCGUGCAAGUCCAUCUUAAAAGCGUGGGGCUUAACCCCAUGAGGGGAUGGAAACUGCAGGGCUGGAGAGUCGGAGGGGAAAGUGGAAUUCCUAGUGUAGCGGUGAAAUGCGUAGAUAUAUGGAAGAACACCGGUGGCGAAGGCGGCCGUCUGGUCUGGAUUCUGACACUGAAGCACGAAAGCGUGGGGAGCAAAUAGGAUUAGAUACCCUAGUAGUCCACGCCGUAAACGAUGAGAACUAGGUGUUGGGGGAAUAACUCAGUGCCGCAGUUAACGCAAUAAGUUCUCCGCCUGGGGAGUAUGCACGCAAGUGUGAAACUCAAAGGAAUUGACGGGGGCCCGCACAAGCGGUGGAGUAUGUGGUUUAAUUCGAAGCAACGCGAAGAACCUUACCAGGCCUUGACAUCCCUUGCAGAGGUAUAGAGAUAUAUCCGAGGUUAUCAAGGAGACAGGUGGUGCAUGGUUGUCGUCAGCUCGUGUCGUGAGAUGUUGGGUUAAGUCCCGCAACGAGCGCAACCCUUGUGAUAUGUUACUAACAUUGAGUUGAGGACUCAUAUCAGACUGCCGGUGAUAAACCGGAGGAAGGUGGGGAUGACGUCAAAUCAUCAUGCCCCUUAUGGCCUGGGCUACACACGUACUACAAUGGCGUCUACAAAGAGUGGCAAGCCUGCGAAGGCAAGCGAAUCUCAUAAAGGACGUCUCAGUUCGGAUUGAAGUCUGCAACCCGACUUCAUGAAGCUGGAAUCGCUAGUAAUCGCGAAUCAGCAUGUCGCGGUGAAUACGUUCCCGGGCCUUGCACUCACCGCCCGUCAA